AGUUCGUGACUCACAGCAUCAUAUUGGAAGCUCUUUUGGUAGCAGCAGUCCCAUAUUAGUGCAGUAGAGAAGUGGUGUAGCUCUAGUUGCAAUUAGUUGCCAAAAUGGACAUAGUUUCCUCUUUUAGGAUUAGAUCUGAAAUGUUGAUUGCUACACAUAGUAGAUUCACUCUAUUUGAGUUUCAUGUAAGUCAAUCCUUUUGACUAUUACAAAUGUAUUGAGCCAUAAGGCAGUAAUUGUUUCAUUAUGCAUGGGAAGAAGGGCACUCUGUUUAUUACAAGGGUUACAUGUAAGAUCCUCCUCAAGUUGAACUCGCUAAUGAAGAGAUGAAAGGGUUUGAUUAAGGCUGUAUGUAGAUACAGAAAUCAAUCCUUUGAUAAUACUGACACAAAGUAUUUUAAGAGAGCUAUGACUAUUGAUCGUUAGUUCAUUUUUAAUGGCCUAGCAAAAUUUUAGGUGAUUCAGAUCCGGUAGUCCAGAUUCUGGCAAGGAUUAUAGCACACAAAAAAUUGAAAAUUAGCAAGAAUUCUAGUUUUUUGGCCCUAAAAUGCCAAAAACGUGGAGCGGUCUAGCCAUAACUAUUGUUCAUUAGGUCAUCUGUGAUAGUCCAACAAAAUUUUAGGCGAUACAGAUCCGGUAACACGGCUUAGAUGGGUUGGUCAUGUGAGGAGGAGUAGCACAGACGUUCUGGUAGAGAGGUGUGAGAGAUUGAUAUUGGAGGGCCUUAGGAGAGACAGAGGUAGGCAGAAGAAGAGACAGGGGGAGGUGAUUAGGCAUGACAUAGCACAGCUACAGCUGACCGAGGAUAUGACCCCUGACAGGAAGGGGGAGGUGAUUAGGCAUGAGAUGGCGCAACUACAAUUUACCGAGGAUAUGACCCGUGAUAGGAAGGUGUGGAGGUUGAAGAUUAGGAUAGUAGCUUAGCUAGUCUAGAUUAUUCAUACAGGUAGCGUUAGUACGUACUCUCUCGCAUUUGGUUGGAUAAGGCUGUAUUUUGGUUCGGGCCUAAACGGGCCGGGCCAAAUAGGCCUGGACUUUGGCGGUCCGGGUCCUAACGGUCCUCGGCGUAACGGGUCAAAUGAGUGGAACCAGCCUACUGCGGUCCUAAGCCCGCAUGGUCCCUGUGCUAAAUGGGCAGGGCCCACGGUCCUAAACGGGCUAUUUUUAUAAAAAAGAUUUAUCUAAGGCAAUUUCUUGUAAGCUAUAUAUGUAUAUACUAAUAUAAAUUUCUUAUAUAUAUAUAUAUACAUAUAUAUAGUUCAAAUUAAAGUUUACAUUUAAUACUUAAAAUUAAAGUUCAAUACCUUCAACAUAAUACUUCAAAUUAAUCUAACAACUAGAGCAUUAAGCAUAAUACGUCUAAUAAUUUUAAAAUAACACAAACUGCCUCAGAUCAACUUAAAAUCUUAAAUAUGAAUGUCUGGAGAAUGCGCAAGAAAACUCUUUAUAUGCCUCCUUAAAGAGCAUGUGCGCUCCUUUCAACGACAAGUGUAGACUCGACUACAGUUCUUGCACUUUAUUAUGUAAACUUAUUUUUCUUCUACCACAUUAAAGUGUUCCAAAACAAAUGGGUGCAGUCUAGAAUUAUCGGACAUGAUUUAACUUGAAUUAAGAAUUUGAGCUUGAGAAAUGAGAGAUGAGUGAAAACUUGAAUACUUCAAUUUGAGUUUGAGAAAUGAGAGAGAUUGAUGAAUUUGUGAGUAAAAAUGAAAUAAUGAGGAGGUAUUUUACUUGAGAAUAGAGAAAAAGUAUAAUUAUAAAAAGUUUGGGGUUAAAACAAAGUUUGGGGGCCAAAUGGCUAAUUUUAAAAGUGCCAAACGGCGAAAAAUAAAGGCCAACAACUACAUUCUAAAACUGUGACCGUUGGCCCUUUUUAAAAAAAAUUACCGUUGAGCCCGGUUGAACCGGCCUAGGCCCACUUGUCGGUCCCGAGCUAAAUGGUCCCGGACUCGCGGGCUUUUUGGUAAGGACCGGCCCGCUGUGGACUUUUUGCACCACUAGAGACCGGCCCGUUUAAACCGACUCAUUUGGCCCGCGAUCCCCGGUUGGGCCCGGCCAACGAUACAUCCUUAUGUUGGAAGUAGGCUUAUUUGAAUACCAGUCGUUUACUUUUCGUUUUUACAUUUCGAUCAUCUUACUAUCUUGUUGUGUAUGAUGCUUUUACAUAGUUUUUCGGUGUUGUCCCGUCUUGUUUCUUGUUAUUAUUGCGGUACCUAGAGCCCGUUUGGAUGAGCUUGUUGUAAGUGACUUUUAAGUCAAAAGCCAUAAGUUAGGAAUUCUAGCUUUUGACUUUUGACUUAUUUUUGUCAUUUUAGCUUAAAAACAAUUGCUUAGAAGUACUUUAUUUCUUUUAUUCAAACACUACAAAAUGACUUAAAACUAUUUAGGUUUAAAAGCACUUAAAAUAAGCCAAUCCAAAUGGGAUACUAUGCUUGCCUGAGCGGAGAGUCUAUUAGAAACAGCCUUUCUACCUCCACAAAGGUAGGAGUAAGGUCUGCGUACACACUACCUUCCCCAGGUCCAACUGCGUGGUAUUAUACUGGAUAUGUUGUUAUUUGUUGUUUGUUAUUGUUGUUGGAUCUGGUAACCUGGAUUCAUGCAGAUGGCGUUGACUAUAUCAUAGUAAAAUUUGGAAAUCGGCCCGAAUUCAAGUUUUUUGGCCCUAAAAUGCCAAAACGAGAAAAGGUCAUGCCGAAGCCAUAAAUAUUGUUCAUUAGGUCAUUUCUUAUGGCCUCGCAAAAUUUUAGGCAAUUCGGAUUUGGUAGCAGGAUUCAUGCUGAUGCCGUAGACUAUAGCACACAGAAAUUUGAAAUCGAUCCAUAUUCCAUUUUAUGGCUCUAAAAUGCAAAAAUAAGGGAAUAAUCAUACCUAAUCCAUGACUAUGGUUCAUAAGGUCAUUUUUUAUGGCCCAACAAAAUUUUAGGCAGUUCGGAUCCGGUAGCCAUGAUUCAUGUAAAUGGUGUCGACAAUAGCACACGAAAAUUUAGAAAUCAGCCUGGAAUCUACCUUUUGGCCCUAAAAUUCCAAAAAUGAGGAACAAUCGUGCAGAAUCCAUGACUAUUUUUCACUAGGUCAUUUUUUAGCCCAACAAAAUUGUAGGAGAUUUGGAUCUGGUAGCUUGGAUUCAUGAAGAUAACAUGGACUAUAACACACGAAAAUUGGAAAUUGGCCCAAAUACUUUUUUUUGAUUGGCCCAAAUUCUUUUGCCAAAAAAUGAGGCAGUCAUACCGAAUCCAUGACUAUUGUUCAUUAGUUCAUUUUUAAUAUCCCCGCAAAAGUGAUUCGGAUUCGGUAUCCCGGAUUAAAGUAGAUGGUAUGGAUUAUAGCACACGAAAAUUUGAAAAUCGGUCUGAAAUCCAGUUUUUUGGAACUAAAAUGGCAAAAAGACAAGGAACGAUUAUUCCAUGACAUAACUAUUGUUCAUUAGGUUAUUUUUUAUGGCCCCACAUAAUUUUAGACUAUUCAGAUUUGAUAGCCCAGAUUCACAGAUGACAUGAACUAUAUCACACGAAAAUUUAGAAAUCGGCCAAAAUUUUAGUUUUUUGGCCCUAAAAUGCCAAAAAGUGAGAAACAAUAAUGCCCAGGCCAUGAAUAUAGUUAAUUAGAUCAUAUUUGAUGGCCCAACAAAAUUUUAAAGGAUUCGGAUCAGUUAGCCAGGAUUCAUGCAGAUGGCAUGGUCAAGAGCACAUGAAAUAUUUGAAAUCAACCCGCGUUCUAAUUUUUUGGACCAAAGAUGCCAAAAAAUGAAAAAUGGUCAUGUCGAAGCCAUGAAUAUUGUUCAUUAGGUAAUUUUGAUAGCCUAACAAACUUUUAGAUAAUUCGGAUCCAGUAGCAUUCGUAUAGAUGGUGUAGACUAUAACAUACAAAAAUUUUGAAAUCGGCUCGAAUUCUAGUUUUUUGGAACUAAAAUACCAAAAAAUGAGGAACAGUCAUGUCGAAGCCAUGACUAUUAUUCAUUAGAUUAUUUUUCAUGGCCUUGCAAAAAUUUAGGCGAUUCAGAUCUCCUAGCCCAGAUUCAUGCAGAUGGCAUAGACUAUAGAAAAUUUGGAAAUCGGCACGAAUUCUAGUGUUUUCGCCCUAAAAUGCCAAAAAUAAGGAACGAUCAUUCCAAAGCCAUUACAAUUAUUUAUUAGAACAUAUUUUAUGUUCCCGCAAAACUUUAGGCGAUUCAGAUUUAAUAGUCCAGAUUCAUAUAGAUGGCGUGUAGACUAUAGCACAUAAAAAUUAUUCUAGCUUUUUUGCCGUAAAAUAAAAAAUGCCAUAAAACGAGGAACGAUCAUGCCGAAUCCAUGCCUAUUAUUUAUUAGGUCAUUUUUGAUAAUCCCGAAAAAUUUUAGGAGAUUCAAAUCCGGUAGCCCGGGUUCAUGCAGAUGGCAGAUGGCACACGAAAAUUUGGAAUCGGUCCAAAUUUCAUUUUUGACACUAAAAUGCCAAAAAGGUGGAACGGUCAUGCUGAAUCCAUGCUAUUGUUCAUAAGGUCGUUUUUAUUGUCCUAUAAAAUUUUAGCCAAUCCUGAUCCGGUAACCCAGAUUUAUGCAGAUGGCGUGAACUAUAGCACAACAAAAUUUAGAAAUUGGUCCGAAUUCUAGUUUUUGUCCCUAAAAUGUCAAAAAACGAGGCAGCCAUGCCAAAUCUAUAACUAUUGUUCAUUAGGUUAUUUUUGAUAGUCCCACAAAAGUAGUUUAGAUCCAGUAGCCCGGAUUCAUGCCUAUUAUGUGGACUAAUGGCAAACGAAAAUUUAAAAAUCGGUCUGAAUUCCAAUUUUUUGGAACUAAAAUAGCAAAAAAUAAGGAAUGAUCAUGCCGAAGACAUGACUAUUGUUCAUUGAGCCGUAAGUUCAUUUUGAUGGUCCCACAUAAUUUUAGACUAUCCGUAUUCGGCGUGAACCAUAGCACACAAAAAUUUAAAAAUCGGCACAAAUUCCAGUUUUUGGCCCUAAAUGCCAAAAAAAGAGGAACGAUCAUACUGAAGCCAUGACUAUUGUUAAUAAGGUCAUUUUCAAUGGCCCUGCAAAAUUUAAACGAUUCAGAUCCGGUAGCCUGGAUUCAUGUAGAUGGCAUGAACAAUAAUACACGAAAAUUUUGAAAUCGAUCUGAAUUCUAUUUUUUAGCCCUAAAAUGCCAAAAAACAAAAAAGGUCAUGCCGAAGCCACGACAAUUAUUCAUUAGGUUAUUUUUUAUAUCCCCAUAAAAUUUUAGGCGUUUCGCAUCUAGUAUUCAUGUAGAUGGCAUAGUCUGUAACACAUGAAAUUUUGAAAUCGGCUCGAAUUCUAGCUUUUUGGAACUAAAAUGCCAAAAAGUGAGGAACGGUCAUGCCGAUUCCAGGACUAUUGUUCAUUAGGUCAUUUUUUAGGACCUUACAAAAUUUUAGGCGAUUCAGAUUCGGUAGCCCAGAUUCAUGCAGAUGACAUGGACUAUAGAAAAUUUUGACAUCAAAACAAAUUUUAGCUUUUUGGCCCUAAAAUACCAAAAACGAGGAACGAUCAUGCCAAAUGCAUUACAAUUGAAUAAAAUUUAAGGCGAUUUGGAUCCAGUAGUCUGGAUCAUAUAGAUGGCGUAAGCAUAACACACGAAAAUUUAGAAAUUGACCAGAAUCUAGCUUGUUGGUCCUAAAAUACAGUAAAAGGGAACGGUCAUGCCGAAUCCAUGACUAAUGUUCAUUAGGUACUUUUGAUAGACCCACAAAAUUGUAGUAGAUUCGGAUCCGUUAGCCCGAAUUCAUGCAGAUGUCAUAGACAAUAGAACACAAUAAUUUGGAAUCGGCCCGAAUUCUAUUUUUUUUGCCCUAAAAUGCCAAAGAGGUGGAACGACCAUGCCGAAUCCAUGACUAUUGUUCAUAAGGUCAUUUUUACGUCCCAACAGAAUUUUUGGCGAUUCAAAUCGGGUUGUCCGAAUUCAUGGCGUGGACUACAACAUACAAAAAGUUUAAAAUCGGCCCGAAUUCUAGGUUUUUUGCCCUAAAAUUUAAAAAAAGGAGGAAUGGUCAUGCCGAAGCCAUUACUAUUGUUCAUUAGGUCUUUUUUGAUAUCCCUAUAAAAUAUUAGUCGAUUCUAAUCCAGUAGUAUGGAUUCAUAUAGAUUGCAUAAAUAUAGUACACAAAAAUUUAGAAAUUGGCCCGAACUCUAGUUUUUAGCCCUAAGAUGACAAAAAAGAGAAACAAUCAUGCCGAAGCCAUGACUAUUAUUCAUUAGAUAUUUUUUGAUAGCCCUGCAAAAUAUUAGGCGGAUCGGAUCUGGUAGCUUGGCAUAUAGUUGAUGUGGACUAUAAUACAAAAAAGGUUAUGCCGAAAUCGUAACUAUUGUUCAUUAGGUCAAUAGUCUCACAAAAUUUUAAAAUAUGCCAGAACUCUAGUUUUUUAGUCCAACAAUGCCGAAACAUGGGCUAUAGCACACGAAAAUCUAGGAAUCGAGUAGAAUUAUAGUUUUGUGGCCCUAAAAUGCUAAAAGAAAUAAGGAACGGUCAUGGCGAGGCGAUACCUUCUUUUCUUAGGUAGUUUUUGAUGGCCAGCAAAAGCUUUGGCGAUCCGGGUCCCAUCGCCUGGGCUGAUGCAGAUUGCGUGGGCUAUAUAACACAUAGAAAUUUGAGAAUCAGCGAAAUUCUAGUUUUAUGGCCCUAAAAUUCCAAGAAACGAGGAACGAUCAUGGCAAGGCGAUGACUAUUGUUCCUAUUACAUCCCAUACUUUAAUAUUACGAUGGGGCGUAGUAAUCCAUAUGAGUUUGAAAGAAUUAAGACCAUUCAUGAGAUUAUAGAGAAUUUGUGACUAUGUUAUUGUAAGACCCGUAAGAUUAACAACCUUGAUCUAUUAUAUAUAUUUGAUAUGGUAUUUUGAGGUGAACAUUUUUGUAAAAAAACUUUUUUUAUAUAGUUAUUAAUAUUACUACUUUCGAAUAUGCUUUAAAUUAUACACACAAUAUGAGAAAGUUUAUGAGAUUUUCUUUAUUGCAAAGAUAGAAAUAUUUUUUUCACAAGAAAAGAAGGUUAUUUUUUUACCAUUUUAAGAAUUAAGUGCACGAAAAUUAUGUACUCUUUUUAUAAGAUUAGGAAAAUUAGAAGUUGAGAAAAUAUAUGUGUUUUUACAUGGAUGUUUUAAUGAAAUAAUAGUGUAUGUAAUGAUUUUAUAUGGUACUAUACUUUAUUAAUAUUUUAAUAUUUUAAUAGUAGUACUGUAUGAUGAGAACAAGAUUAUUUUUGAGUUUAUAAGUAUUUAUGUUAUUUCAAACAAGUGAUAAGUAAAUUCAUCAAGGUGAGAGGAUAAGAAGAUCGAACAAAAUGAGUUUCGUCGAAGUUUAACAAUUUAGGAUAAAAUACGAUCCAAGCUAUAAAACCCGUGUAACGACCCGGCGGUUCAUUUUGAGAGUUAUAGCCCUAAUCCCAUAUUUACUACGUUUCCCGUAUUUUUUAUGCUUACGUGACUUGCAUGGAGGUUUCGUUUUGGUUUUUGAAAUUUUUUUGGACACUUAGUCCCUAAACGGAGCCUUAAGUCUUAGGGUUUUAGACUUUAGUCGAACUAUGUGAAGACGAAGUUAGAAUGGAGUUUCAUCGGUUCUGUUAGCUCCGUUGGCUGAUUUUGGACUUAUGGGCGUGUCCGGAUUGUGUUUUGGAGGUCUGUAGCUUAUUUAGGCUUGAAAUGGCGAAAGUUUAAUUUUUGGAGAUUUUGACCAAUAACAGACUUUUUAUAUCGAGGUCAGAAUCAUAUUCCAGAAGUAGGUCUGUAAUGUCAAAUAGAACUUGUGUGCAUAAUUUGGGGUUAAUAGGACGUGAUUUGAUAGAUUUCAGCAUUGGCUGUGUAUAUUUGAAGUUUCAAGUUAUGUUUGAAUUGGAGGGUGAUUCGUGAUUUUAGCAUUGUCUGGUAUGAUUUGAGGUCUAGACUAAGUGCGUAUGGUGUUUUAGGACUUGCUGUUAUAUUUGGUUGAUGUCCUGGGAGCCUCGUGUGUGUUUCGGAUGCUCAACGAAUCAUUUUUUACUUGGGAAAAGUUGUAAAAAAAUCUGGUGUUUUUGGUGUCUGGUUUCAUUCUACGCCUUCGCGAAGAUUCUCCCGCGUUCACGUAGAGGAGUUAAGUGUUGCUGAGGUUUAAGCCUUUUUUCGUUCUCGAAGCUAUGGAGCUUUGGGUUUACGCGUUCGCAAUAGGUGUUACGCAUUCGCGAAGGAGAGUGGUCAGAAGGGGUCCAGGCUUUUAACCUACGCGAUCACGAAGUCCUGCACGUAUUCGCUAAUGGUCUGGCAAGUGAAGCUACGCGUUCGCGAGAGGACAUUCGCGUUCACAAAAGAGGAAUUUUUGGUCAAUGAUUUUUGUUCAGUGCGAACUCGAAAAAGGAAUUAACUCGGAAAGAUUAUAAAAUUUUAAAAAUGAGGGUUUGACCAUUUUUAUCAAAUUUGAGGUUGGGAGCUCGAAUUUGGACGAGAUAUGAGGGAUUUUUAGAGACAUCGAUUGGAUAAUGAUUCUACACUUGAUUUUGGUUAUAUUCCACUAAUCUAUCAUUAAUUUCAUCAAAUAAUUUUGGAUUUGAGUUGAAACAUUAGGAGAAACGGGAAGAAGUUUUUUGACUAUAAUUUUGGGUUUUGAUUGGCAUUUUGAUAACGGAUUUUGAUAAUUUUGGUACGAGUGAAUGGAUGUUCAUAUUUUGUGACUUUUAACCGAUUCCGAGACGUGGGCUCGAGGAGACUUUUAGGGAGAUUUUCUAAUUUCUUGCUUUAGCUUUGAGUUUUAUUAACUAGAUUAGUUUCUUAUAGUUAGAUUUUGAUAUGUAAUUUAUAUUGGCUAGAUUGGGGCCAUUUGAAGUCGGAUAUUCGUGAAAAAGGCAUUGUUACCGAUUGAUUGAUCUUGGUUCGAGGUAAGUGGCUAACCUUGUGUUAGGGAACUCCCUUUAGGAUUUUGUACUAUUUAGAUAUGUGAGCGCCAUGUACGUGAGGUGAUGAGCGAGAACAUAGGUUUGUUGUAAAAUCCAAUUUUUACUAAGUAAUAACCUGUUUCUUCUUAUUUGAGUACUAUUAGUAUGUGUAGUUAUCUUGAUUAGCUUAGAAUAGCAUAUCUACAUGUCUUAAAUACUUAUCUGAACUCUGCGCAGCAUGCCUAGAGAAUUUUCCUACUUUUCUCUUGACUUGUACCCGGUCUAGACUGUAGGAUCUCUUCUGUAACUGUUAUUUUCAUUGUUUGAGCUGCAUAUUUAUUUUGGGACUAUGAAACGGUAUUCCGGGAGAUCCCCCUGCACAUUUACUUUGGGACUACGGAAUGAUAUACCGAGAUAUCCCCUUGCAUAUUUACUUUGGGACUAUGGAACAGUAUUUCGGGAGAUCCCUACACAUUUACGUUUGGGACUACGAGACGGUAUCUCGGGAGAUCCCUUGUUGCUAUUUUGUGUUCUAUUUUGUUAUCCUUUAUGUGUUUUCCUUCCAGGUAAAUUUCAGUCUUUAUUUUACCAUAAUAUUUUUGUUCUGUCUUAUAUAUAUAUAUAUAUAUAUAUAUAUAUAUAUAUAUAUAUAUAUAUAUAUAUAUACACUCUCUCUCUCUCUCUCUCUCUCUCUCUCUCUCGCUNNNNNNNNNNNNNNNNNNNNNNNNNNNNNNNNNNNNNNNNNNNNNNNNNNNNNNNNNNNNNNNNNNNNNNNNNNNNNNNNNNNNNNNNNNNNNNNNNNNNNNNNNNNNNNNNNNNNNNNNNNNNNNNNNNNNNNNNNNNNNNNNNNNNNNNNNNNNNNNNNNNNNNNNNNNNNNNNNNNNNNNNNNNNNNNNNNNNNNNNNNNNNNNNNNNNNNNNNNNNNNNNNNNNNNNNNNNNNNNNNNNNNNNNNNNNNNNNNNNNNNNNNNNNNNNNNNNNNNNNNNNNNNNNNNNNNNNNNNNNNNNNNNNNNNNNNNNNNNNNNNNNNNNNNNNNNNNNNNNNNNNNNNNNNNNNNNNNNNNNNNNNNNNNNNNNNNNNNNNNNNNNNNNNNNNNNNNNNNNNNNNNNNNNNNNNNNNNNNNNNNNNNNNNNNNNNNNNNNNNNNNNNNNNNNNNNNNNNNNNNNNNNNNNNNNNNNNNNNNNNNNNNNNNNNNNNNNNNNNNNNNNCUCCCUAGUAGGGCCCUGACCUGACCUCAUCACCAUUCGAUCGAGAUUAGGCUUGGCACUUACUAGGUAUCAUUUUGGUGUACUCAUGACUCUUUUGCACAUAUUUUUGUGUGGUGAUCCAGAGACCUCCUACUAGCCUCGAGUUUAGUUGCACGAUUUCUGUUGUUCAGGUGACUUCAAGGUAUAUCUUCCACGUUCUCGGACCUCGGAGUCCCCUUCUAUUGUUCUCGUGUUGUUCCUCUUUUUAUUUCUUCUUGCACUGAUGUAUAGAACAAUUGAAUUUUUAGAAUCUUGUGGCUUACGGUGUUGCGGUUCUUCGGAGAGUUGAGUAUAUUUUGAGAGUUGAUUAUUGCAUAUGUCGAGCGGCAUCUCACAUGGUUAUUUACAUUAUCUGUUACUGUUAGUUGUUAACUUAUUUUAUGCUUUACAUUUUACUUUCACAAAUUUUAGGCUUACCUAGUCGUAGAGACUAGGUGCCGUCACGACAAAUUCAGGGAGGGAGAAUUUCGAUCGUGAAAAUCCGGUUUUUAUGGACUAGUGUAAUACAAGGUACUAUAUGACUAUGAUAAUAAUUUUUAUAAAGUAUGUUAAAAUUGAAUAGUAUUUUAAUUAAUUUGAGAUAAUUCUUAAUUACGUGGAUAACUGAUUAAUUGUAGGGAUAAUAAUGGUAUUAAAUAGGAUAAAGUGGAUACACUUUUUUUCUAUGGGAUGCGACAUGGCAUUAAGCUAGGCCAAGGUGGCACCAAUGUGCAUGAUGAGUCAUAACACAUAAGGUGCCUUGUUUACACAUGAAAUGUUCUUUGGAUAAUAACCUUGGUUUGGUUUCUUUAGUGGUAAUAUAACUUGGAGAAUAGAAAAUAAGUUAUGGCAUGCUUGCCACUCUAGAGAUAGACCAACAACGUUGGUACUGAUUAAUAGGUCUAAUGCAAUCUAUAUCUUUCUAUAUUGUGAAUAUUAGUCGAAUAAGAAAUAACGUGCUAUGAUAUUAAGAAAUCAUACAGAUUUUUUCCUACUUCGAUACGCCGUUAUGUGAUAUGUCGCAACUAACGUGUGUUAGAAGGAUUGUCAAGAAAAUCAACUCAAGUAUGUUAAGGCUAAUCCUUCCUUCUCUUUGGCAUGAUCCAAGUAACGAUACGUAAAUGUAACUUAUUUCAUAAAUGGUUCUACUCUUAGUAACUAAGAAGGUCUAUGUUGUUCAUUCCUCUAAAAUGAUAUUCAAACCAUGCAUAUGUAGUGCAGCCAGAGCACCCGAGUGAGCUGAUACAGACGAGCCACCAGUAGCUCCGGCGCACAGGAACCUAAGACACCUUGUACUACUACAUCAACUCUUCAGGAGACCCUUGCACAACUCCUAAGCAUGUUCGGUACUCUAUCUCAGACAUGGUUGAUUCCCCUUACUUCAGCCACAUCUCAGGCCAGGGAAGGAGCAUAGACUCCCUCCACCCGCACCCCAAAGCAAUAGGUGGAGGGAGUCCAUAGGUUAUAUCGGUGCCACCUAUAGCCCCCGUCUAGCCCAAGGGUAGGCCAGCAAUUUCAAAUGAAGAGCAACAUAGACUCAAGAGGUACAAGAAGUACCACCCUCCUACAUUCAAUGUCCUAGCAUUAGAGGAUGAUAAAGGAUUUCUGGAGGAGUGCUACAGUAUCCUCCGUAUUAUGGGCAUAACCGAGUCGAGUGGGCUUUCUUUUACUGCAUUUUAGCUUAGUGGAGCGUCCUAUUAGUGGUGGUGUGCUUAUGAGUUGGACAGUCCGGUUAAGGCAGCUUCCCUUACAUGGACUCAAUUCUCGGAUAUGUUUUUUAGAGAGUAUGUUCCUUAGAGCCUCAUAAAUGCAUGGCGUUCUGAGUUUGAGCAGAUGCGCCAUGAGGCUAUGACACUGUCUAAGUAUGUAGUUCAUUUUAGUGGCUUGGCUAGACAUGCACCGGCCUUGGUUUCUAUUGUUCGAGACAGGAUCCGCCAGUUUAUUGAGGAACUCCAUCCCUGCAUCCGGACUAGUAUGGACCAGGAGUUAGAGAUGAAUAUCUCAUACCAGCAGGUUGUGAGUAUUGUUAGGAUAGUGGAGGGCAUUGUUGCUCAAGAGAUGGAGGAGAGAGAGGCCAAGAGGUCUCAUGCCCCAACCGCAAUUCGACAUGGUAAGGGCUAUGUGAGUCGCCCUAUUUAUUUAGCUCUUCCAUCAACCAAUGGUGUUCCAGCCCCAUCUAGGCCUCAGAAGCCUUAUUAUGUGCCUCUAAUAUCUAGUGUGCCUCCUGUACGUGAUGUUUUUAGCUGUCAAUCCAAUAGACCUGGCUCGAGCUAGCUACAACAUCCAAGGCCUCCCAGAGCUUGUUUUGAGUGUUGCAAUUGGUAAGGAUUUCCCUAGACUUCUCAGCCACAACAUGCUCCACAGGGUCCUCAAGCUGUGAUUACAGCACCAACUGCUACCUACCGUGCUCAGCCAGCUCGAUGUGGAGGUUGGGGAGGUAAAUGUCUCCCUAGAGGGGGAGGCCAGGUCAGAUACUAUGCUCUUCCUGCUCAAAUAGAGGCAGUUGCUUCCGACUCUGUUAUUACAGGAAUUGUUCUGGUCUAUCAUAGAGAUACAUCGAUUCUAUUUGAUCCAAGCUCUACUUAUUCCUAUGUGUCAUCUUAUUUUGCUCCAUAUCUAGGCAUAUCCCAUGAUUCUAUAAGCUCUCCUAUUUAUAUGUCUACACCUGUAGGAGAUUCUAUUAUUGUUAACCAUGUGUAUCAGUCGUGUUUGGUUGUUAUUAAUGGUUUUGAGACCAGAGUCGAUUUAUUUUGCUUAGUAUGGUAAAUUUUGAUAUUAUCUUGGGCAUGGACUGGUUGUCUCCCCAUUAUGUUGUUCUUGAUUGUCAUGCUAAGAUCGUGACGCUGGCUAUGCCAGGCUUACUGAUGUUAGAGUGAAUAGGCACCUUAGAUUUCACUCCCAUUAGAGUUACUUCAUUUCUGUAAAGCUAAACGAAUGGUGGAGAAAGGGUGUGAUGCUUAUCUAGCUUAUGUGAAAGAUGUCAGUAUUUGAUACCCCUAUAGUUGAGUCUAUCCUGGUAGUGGGGGAUUUCCCUAAUGGUUUUCCAGUUGAUAUUCCGGGCAUGCCACCCAACAGAGAUAUCGACUUUGGUGUUGAUUUGUUAUUGGGCACUCAACCCAUCUCUAUUCCUCCAUAUAGUAUGGCCCCUCAUGAGUUGAAAGAACAAUUACAGGAAUUGCUUGAUAAGGGCUUUAUUCGGUCUAGUGCAUCACCUUGGGAUGUUCCUUUCUUGUUUGUGAAGAAAAAUGAUGGUUCUAUGCGUAUGUGCAUUGAUUAUCACCAGUUGAACAAAGUUACAGUGAAGAACAUGUAUAAUUUUCCUUGUAUUGAUGACUUAUUUGAUCAGUUACAGGGUGUCAUAGUGUUCUCCAGGAUUGACUAUGUUCAGGCUAUCAUCAGCUAAAAAUUUGAGAGCUAGAUAUCCCGAAGACUGCUUUCAGGACUUGGUAUGGUCCUUACGAGUUCCUUGUGAUGUCAUUUAGGCUGACCAAUGCCUCAGCAACAUGUAUGCAUUUAAUGCACAAUGUAUUUCGACCUUAUCUUGAUUCAUUGGUCAUUGUGUUUAUUGAUGACAUUCUGGUGUACUCUGGAGUUGGGAGGAUCAUGAGCAACACCUGAGGACUUUGCUUCAGGCCUUAAGAGAGAAGAAAUUAUAUGUAAAGUUCUCAAAAUGUGAGUUUUUGGUUGGAUUCAGUGGCAUUUUUGGGUCACAUAGUGUCGAGUGAAGGGAUCAAGGUGGAUUCAAAAUAGGUGGAUGCAGUGCAUAGUUGGCCAGACCAUCCUCAAAUACAGAGAUUCUAAGUUUUUUGGUUUGGCAGGGUAUUAUCGUCGAUUUGGUUAGGGAUUCUCAUAUAUUGCAACACCUAUGACCAGGCUGACCUAGAAGGGUGCUCUGUUCAGGUGGACAGAGGAGUAUGAGCAGAGCUUUCAAAAGCUCGUGACAUCUUGGAGUAAAGUCCCAAUAUUGGUAUUUCCUGUUAGUUCAGGAUCUUAUACUAUUUAUUGUAAUGCGUCAUGAAUUGGUCUUGGUGCAGUGUUGAUGCAGGAGCGUAGGGUGAUUGCUUAUGCAUCCAAACAAGUGAAGGUUCAUGACUAUCCAUGACCUUGAGUUAGAAACUAUUGUUCAUGCCUUGAAGAUUUUGAGGCACUAUUUGGUGUCCCUUGUGAGAUCUACACUGAUCACCGGAGUUUGCAACAUUUAUUCAAGAAGAAGUAUCUCAACUUGCGUCAGCAGAGGUGGUUAGAGAUGCUUAAGGAUUAUGAUAUCACGAUACAUUUUGUACCAUCCCAGGAAGGCUAAUGUGGUGGCCGAUUCCUUGAGUCUCAGGGUGGGGAGUUUGGGGAGCUUAGUAUAUUUGCUAGUAGUAGAGAGGCCAUUGACACUGGAUGUUCAGGCCUUAGUCAACCAGUUUGUUAGAUUUGAUAUUUCUAAGCCGAUUUGAGUUUUCUCUUGUGUGGUCUCCCGGUCUUCUCUUUAUGAUCAUAUCAGGGAGCGUCAGUAUGAUCAACCCCAUCUGCUCGUCCUUAAGGACAUGGUUCAACACGCUGUUGACACCCAAUUUUUUUCUAUAUAUUUUUAGUAUUCAAAAUAACUUCAAAAUAGCAUAUAUAUGCAAAUGUAAGCAUAUUCAAGUAUUUUAGUAUGUUUCCCAUAAUUUCAAAGGGGUUUCAAACAAUUUAUUUCCCUUUUUUAUUCAUAAAAUCCAAUAAUUAUUUCCAAAAUUGUUAUUUUUUGGCAAAUCAUCUAUUGGAUUUAAUAUUUAUGCUAAAAUAUAGCUAAGGUAAUUUUGGCAUGUUUUUACAAAUUUAUUUACUAUUUUUCAAAGCUAAAGUGCAUAAUUGCAAUAUUAGCCUAUUUUAGAUUUAGUGGUGUUUUAUAUUCAUUAAAUUAAGUCCUGUAUUUUUAAAUUGUUAAUUAUAUGUUAUAAAUCAUCUUUGUUCUUUCAAUUUAUUUUCAAAAAUUAAUUUACUAUUUUUAUAAUUUUAAAAGGGGAAAACUUGUCUAUUUAAAUAAUAUCCCAGUUACAUUUCAAUUAUAGCCUAAAUCCUAUCCAAUUUGAAUCCAAUUACCCCGGCCCAAUUCCCAUUCAAACCCAACCCCUAACCCAAUUUAAACGACCCAACCUGGAUUCCCAACCUAACCCCUUUAAUCCUAGUGGUUGAUCAUUUAGAUCAAUGGCCACCAUCCUUCCUUUCCUUUUUAACCCUAAACAACCCCUAAACCUACCUCAUUCUUCACCGAACGCUGCCCUUGAAUUCCCAUUUCUCUAAAUUCUCUUUGAAACCCCACCUGAACCCUAGCUGCCUCCCUCUAAUCCCACCCCAAUAUCUACCUUAUCCAUGGCAUUGGCUAUUGGUGUUGGACCCAACCUAUGUUCCAGCUCGUCACUACUUGCAACCUAAGGUUAGGUUUGUUACUUCCCAGUACAUGGGUUUAGUUGUACUGAUACUACGCUUUUUCGUGCAGAUGUUGGUUGUUUUUGUUGUUGUGUUCGAUGGUUAAUGGCUUUGAAGAUGUGCUUGCGUCCAUGUUGUAGUUGUCUUUUAUUCAUUGUAUCCUUAGAUUUAUAAAAAUGUACCUUUACCAAGACCCCACUUUGUGGGACAUUACUGGGUAGUUGUUGUUGUUGUUGUUAUCUAUGUACCUUCCAAACAGAAGAUGUAUUUACUUCUUAUCAGCUUCGUAAACUCUAUUCUUACAAGCUCAUAAUUAGUACUACCAGUCCUUGGGGUAAUGUAUAAAAAUCUGAAAAUUUCUUUUGUUUGAUUUUUCUUAUUAAUAUGAUUGAAAUUGGAUAGUUAAGAGUUGUCUUACCUAGCAGGUUGGGUUAGUUUCCAUCACGACCAGUGGAUUUUAGGUCGUGAUACCUUUUCGGGUCGCUAGGUGAAGGAGGAGGUGGAGGACCUCUUGGUCUAGUGUGGUAUGUUGAUGAUUCUAGCAUGCACGAACGAACCUUUGGGAACAAGAAUAGAUAAAGAAAUAAAAACAAAAAGGUAACCAAGUCAGUAAGGUAAAAUAAAAGCGUGUUUGCAAUAUCUAGACAUAUUUCACAAAAUUCAUGCAAUAAUUCGCGUCCUAAUUUGGGGACCUAAUUGUGCCUGAGGUAAUCCUAAGCGACACAUACACUUGGAGAAAAUUGAUGCCAAUGUUUGCUUCAUUUUGUUAAUGCAGAAAAAAAGCCAAACCAGCCUUCUACUAAAUCGACCAUAAUAAUAAAAUCGCUAAUGGCAUUAAUUCUUAUUACAUCGAAAUCUAAUCUAAACUAGAAAGAAGUAAAGAACAUCUUCUCCUAAUCUACUUGGUCCCUGAAGGACCUUCUCUAUGUUUGGCUCUCUUGACCCCCAUCAAUCAUGUUCCCCAGAUCACGCAUGUCCAACAAUAAAUAAGCUUUUGCCAGCUUUCCUCCUUCAUCGUCUACCAUUCCUUGACAAUCCCAAAGUCUCUUUCUUAUCUUCCCUUCUAGCUCCAUCAGUCUUUGAUCCAAGUAUUCUAAUCCCUCCAUUGACUUUGUGGCAAUCACUUUCCAUUCCCUUACUGCCUCCAUGUUUACUUUGUGUUGCUCUAGAUGCUUAGCUUUGUACUCGAACACCCUUUUGCGUAGCCUCUUGUACUUAACCUAUGCCGCAGUCACUUCAUCAUGAUCAUAUCCUUCAGAUUGACUCUUGGCUUAGCAUCCCAAACUACAUCGUCUUCCAUCCAUGAUAUAUAGUAAUACAUAUGACCAGGAUGAUACAUGUCUUGCUCAAUAGUUUCUCCUUCCACAAUGAUCUUUUGGUUCUACUUGUGUUGCACUUUGAACUUGAAUGGUAUGACAUCUCCCUUAAAAUCUGCCUUGUAUUGGACCAUGUUGGAAACCCGAGGUAUGACGUGUUUUCUUCCAACUUGUCUUAUUCGCAUCCUGAUCAGUACCAAGUGAGUAGUCCCUUUUUAUUGAUGAUGAACCACUACUUGGAAACCAUUCAAACAUUCAAUGCACCUGCUCUUCUGUCAAAUUGCUGAAGAAACGCACCUAACCUACAACAUUUCUAGGCUUUGAAAACCUAUCUGGAAUAAACGUCAUUUUCUUUGGGUGAUGGUUGGCUAUGUAGUCAUUUGGUGGCCUUCGCAGAAGCCGUUGAAGAUACUUACCCUUCUAAUAGUGUUCCAGCAACCAAUCUUGUAGCAAUAGAUUACAACCCUCAAAUUACCCAUGCUUGCACCAAUCUAGAGCACGGUACUUCUCAGCUAAGAUCAUUGGGAUAAUAGUAUAACUUUGUCUUUGAUGCCAUCCAUUAAGGUCCUGGCAACCAUGGCUAAGCAAGUAUGAAUCCUCUCUCGUUGCAUUAAAAAGAUCUAUAAUCCCAAGAAGCAGACAAUGGAAACAUAAACUUGGGGAUGCACCCAUCCAAAAGAAGUAAUAACUAGUUUAUCAUGAUGAAUACAAUAUGAUUUUCUAUGCCUAUAAUGCUCGUAAAGAAACUCAAAAGGCAUGUGUGAUUUCUUUAGACAGAGAAGUUCACCAUUCUUCUUAAAACCCAACAUUUUUAGAAAAUCGCGAGGAGUGCAAUUUUCUGGCAUUAUCAAUCUCGGACUAUCCCAUGGUAACUUGGUGAACCCCCCUAUUUCUUCCAGGAGAGGAUUCAUUUCUAUGUUGUCAAAUCGAAAAAAUAGCUCUUUUCUCGUCCCAGAACAUGGUAGCGGCCUCGUUCAAUUUUCUAUUUGGUCAAAUAUCCAGCAAAGAUGGCAGGUCACCAAGUACUUUCCUCACAUGAUUUCUAUUGAAAAGUGAAAGGUCUUUCCACUAAUAAAUUAUCAAAGGAGGGAUGUUUUGGAAUAUACCAAACUUGGGUUUCUGUGCUUCAUUUUCUAAAAACAAGCAAAGGUUAGCCUUUCCCCUUCCAGAUUUAGCUACUUACGCAAUAAUGAUCAACGUGUUGGCAUAUUUUCUCCAAGUAAUAAACAUCAUAUGAUAGUGUCGAUUAAGAUUGUGAAAAUCCUGUUGGACUUUGGACACGGUUUUAUUUAAGCGGGUUGAUUUGUCAAUGAUGUCUCAAUCUGUACUAGGUUUAGCAUGAUGCAUGCUCAUUUCAAAUCAAAGUGUGGUUUCCAGAAAGGUCUAGACUAGUACUCUCAUGUGGACAACUUAAGAGAGAAAGGAAGGGGACCAUCGACUGCACCGCUAACCGACUAGUCUACCACAUAUAUGUGACGACUCAAAAGGUCAUCAUCUAAUUUUUAUCCAUUCUUUGCUUUCGAGGCCUUGGAAACCUUAUUUAGAGUCGCCCUGAUUUGCGUGCGCAGUCCGUGCGCGUAGCCGGAAAGCUUAAAUGUGAAAUUCUAUGAAAAAUGCUAAAUUUUGAUAUUAACAUGAAUAAAUUUUAAUUUGGUCAACAUUUUGGGUAAACGGGCCUCGACCCAUGGUUUUAUGGUAUCGGAGGGUUCGUAUGAAAAUAUGGGACUCAGGCGUAUACCCGGAAUUGAAUUCCGAGGUCCCGAGCCCGAGAAAUGAAUUAUUAAAGGAAAUUGUUUUUCUGAAAUUGUUAAGGAAAAUUGAAAUGAAAAGUUAUUAGAACGUGUUGGUAUCGGGCAUGUAUAUUGGUUUCGGUGCCCGGUACAUAUCAUAUAUGUGAUUUAACGUAUUUUUGUAAAGUUUGGUAGAAAUCGGACGUCGUUUGACGUGUUUCCGCCUAAAAGUUCUUAAUUUGAAAGUUAAUGAAAUUUGAGGAAAAACUAGUAUUUUGAGGUUUGAUUCGUUAUUUUUUAUGUUAUUUGGCGAUUUGACCGCACGGUUAAGUUCGUAUGAUGUUGUUGAGCUAGUGCAUGUGUUUGGUUAGGAGCCCCGAAGGCUUGGGAGUGUAUUAGAGGUGUUUUGGAGUGGUUUCAAACAUAGAAAAAUUUGCAAAAUUGGCUUCGGCUGUUGCAGAAUAGCGUCGCAGCAUUCGCGUUCCCGUAGGGAUAUUUGACUAUGAGGGCUGAGUCUUCCUUUCCGUAGCGCGUUUGUGUAAGCAUACUUGCGUUCGCGUAGCUUUGCAAGAUUUCCUCUUCGCGCUCGUGUGCUAUCCCACGUGUACGCAUAGAUCAAUUUCAGGGCCACACCAUUUUUACUUUUGCGUUCGCGUGCCUCCUUCCGCGAACGCGAUGGUUUGUAAGUGCUGCCCUUGGUGGACAUGACUAGCCUAUCACGAACGCAAAGGGCAAUUUCGUCCAGUUAUAUUUUUAAUUUCCAAAAUAGUGUUGUUGUGGGAUUUUCAUAAACAUUCAUGAACUCCUUCUUCUCCAAGGUUCUUACGCGUCCAUUGGAGCUAUCCUUCACCAAAGACUUCUUGGGUUAGUAAUCCUUGCUUGUUUCCUUCCAUUUUAUUCAACAUCUAAUGAAUUCCUAAGGCUACACAUGUAAUUAAGCGUAGAAAUUGGGGAUUUGGGUAGAUUUAGGGCUUUUUAAUUUUUCUUGAUUUAGACCUCGUUUUGGGGUCGAAUUUAAAAACAAAUUAUAUACUCGAGCUCGUGGGUAAAUGGGUGAUAUGAUUUUGGUCCGAACCUCGUGUUAUGAUCAAGCAAGCUCGGGGUCAAUUUUUGGGAUUUUGGGAAGAAUGCUUGGAAAGCUAUAAUUAGGGGUUGGAUUAUAUUUUUUUAGCAUGUAUUGAUGUUAGGAAGUCGUUUAUGUAUAGAUUUGAUUGAUUUGGAGCCGAAUUCGAAAGGAAAGGCGAUUAUUAAGGAUUGAAUUGACCAUAAAAGUUUGCGGUAAGUGUAUCGUCUAACCUUUGCUUGAGGGAAUAGGAGUUGAGUCUUAUUUGCUACUUGCUAAUUAUCAAGUACGACGUAUAGGCAUGGUGACAAGUAUUUAUACGUUGGUGUCUAGCAUGACUGUGAAUCUUUAUAUUGCGAAUAUUCUGAUUUUUGUUGUAUCUUUCAUUCCUAAAUGAUGAUUCCUAUAUGUUGUAAAGAACAUGUGAAAGAAAUUAUGAUCUUUGAACUUCGAGGAGCAUUGGCUCGAAUGGUGAUACGAAUUGUGAAAGUAUAUGAGGUAAUUGAACCCUUUGGAGCAUUGUCUCAAGUGGUAAAGUGAGAUAUGAAGUAAAAGUGAAAUAAAAAAGAAAGAGUACCUAAAUUGUUCCCUUUGCCGGGAUAUUGUUUCUUAUUGAUCAUUUCCCUUGCCGGGACAGUAAGGUUAUUGAUGUUGUAUCCUUGCCGGGAUUUAAUGGCUUAAUUGUGUCCCUUGCCGGGACUUCUAUUAGUGUUUUGUUUACUCCCUUGCCCCUUGUUUGUGACUGUUAUUUGGGUGAGGAGGAGGUUAAAGCACGAAGGGUGAUGCCGUGUAUUGUUUUCUAUUGUGAGGAAAGAGUGUUAAAGCACAAAGGGUAAUGUCGUGCCGCACGAUGUACCAUUCCAUGCCGAUUCUAUUGAUUAUAUGUGAGGAUGAGAGUAAAAGCACGAAGGCUGAGGCCAUGCACGUUUUAUUUUAUCAUUGUUUGGUGAGGAUGAAGUAAAAGCAUGAAGGGUUAUGUCAUGCACGUUUUAUUACACCAUUUCUUGGCGAGGACAAGAGUAAAAGCAUGAAGGGUGGUGUCGUGCACUUAUUUCCUUCUACUUCUUUAUUAAAGCCUGUGUUGUGUUGUUUCCUUCGUUAUUGGAUGACUUUUGCUGUAUAUGUAUAUAUAACUACACAGGUUUAUAAGGUAGUCCAGUCUAGCUUCAUCACUACUUCGUCGGGGUUAAGCUAGGUAUUUACCAGCAUAUGGGGUCGGUUGUGCUGAUGCUACACUCUGUAAUCUUUUGCACAAAUUCACGUGUUAGAGAAGCUUCCGAUGCACAGCAGUAGUCAGGGAGCCGUCCACGAGACCCCGAGGUAGCCUUGCUGGUGUCUGCAGGCCCGACGUCUCUUCUUUCAGUUUCCAUGUUCUAUUGACAUUUGUAUUCAAGACAGACUAUGUCCUUUGUUUCAAACUCUUAUUUGUAGUAAAUCUUAGAUAGUCUGUAUUUUGUUGUUACACCAGGUACUGGGUCGAGACCUUUAAUGGUUUUCUAGAUUAUGUUGCUAUAUUUUGUUUUAGACUUCCGCUAAAUUUUACUUUUUGUUGAUUUUAAUUGCUUAUUCAUUGAUAAUUUAAUUGUUUAAUCAUGUAUAAAACAAGAUAAAUUAAUGGGUUCACAGGUUCUUGGCUUGUCUUACUACCACGAGUAGGCGCCAUCAUGACCCCCGAGAGUGGGAAAAUCCGGGUUGUGACAAGUUGGUAUCAUUGCUCUAGGUUGCAUAGGUCUCACAACUCAUGAACAAGCUUAGUAGAGUCUGAGGGAUCGGUACGGAGAAGUCUGUAUCCCCCAGAGGAUACAGAGUUAGGGAAAGUUUCACAUUUGUUAUUUCUUGUGAUCAGCAGUCCAAACCACAGGCAGCUCCCACUAGGGGCAGAGGGCGAGGGCGAAGCCGUGCUAGAGGCCAAGGUAGGGGAAGAUCCCAGCCCCGAGCAGCAGCACCAGUGGCAGAACCUCAUGUUGACUGAUAAGGAGGUUCCAGCCCCAGCUCCAACAGUUCUGGAGGGCCCAGCUCAGGUCCUAGAGGGGUUCAUUAUCACCCUAGUUCUUCAGGAUGCUCUGGUCUGAUUGGUGGGUCUUAUGGAGAGUGUCACCCCAGCAAGUUUUCAUCCUGUAGCACCAGCCAUCUCUCAGGUUGGAGGAGGGGCCCAGACUCCUGCUAUUCGUACUUCAGAGCAAGUAGCUUCCCGGAUUCAGACUCCAGCAGUUCGAUCAGUUAGAGCGGCUCAGCCGGGUGUGGUGGCCCAGGCCGGUGAUUGGGAAGCUAUUCUGCCGAUGCUUUAUGGAGAUUGGAUAGGUUCACCAAUCUUUUCAUUACUACCUUUAUUGGGGCAUCUACCGAGGAUCCUCGGGAUUAUUUGGACAGCUGCCACGAAGUUCUUCGGAACAUGGGUAUUGUUGAGACCAAUGGGGUUGAUUUCGCUAUAUUCCAGUUGUCUGUAUCUGCCAAGACUUUGUGGAGGGAUUAUUGUUUAGCUAGACCAGAAGGAUCUCCAGCCUUGACCUGGGAGCAGUUCACGAAUAUAUUUCUGGAGAAGUUUCUCCCGAUUACUCAGCGAGAGGCCUAUUAGAGGCAGUUCGAGCGUCUCCAUCAGGGAUCCAUGACACUCACCCAGUACAAGACUAGGUUUAUUGAUUUGGCUUGCCAUGCUCUUGUUGUACUUUCCAAAGAGAAGGAGAAAGUGAUAUGGUUUAUUGAUGGACUCAUCCAGCCGAUUCGUCUCCACAUGGUCAGUGAGGCUGGGAAUGAGAUAUCUUUCCAGGAGGCGGCCAAUAUGGCCCGGAGGAUUGAGAUGGUAUUGUCACAAGGGGGUGUCAUAGAGCAGACAAGAGACCCCGUCAGUCAGGUUGAUUCAAUGGUGCCUCGUCUGGAGGCACAGAUUCCUUUGAUAAGGUUCAUCUUUCUAGGCCUUUCUAGUCAUCCCUCCAAGUUUCUUAGAGUGCCCCAAGUGGUCGUGGUUCUCAUGUGCACUAUUCUGAUCAGCAGUCCUUAAGUGCACUGCCAACUUCUAUAAGUGCACCGCCACUUUAGAGUGUCUGUGGUGGUCAUUCAGGUCGACAGGGCCAGCAGACUCAGCAGCCGAGGGCUUGUUACACUUGUGGUGACAUGAGUUAUAUUGCUAGAUUUUUCCUUCGAGCACCGAGCAGUUCUCAGCACCAGGGUUCUCGUGCUAUGGUUCAAGCACCAGGUGUUCCACAGCCCGCCUGCCCAGCCAGCUAGAGGUGGGGCUAGAGGUGCCAGAGGUGGAGCUCAGGCCACCAGAGGUGGAGACCAGCCAGUAGCAGGCCGUCCUAGGGAGGUAGACCAAGGUGGUGGGACCCAGCCCCGAUGUUAUGCUCUUUAGGCCAGGCCCAAGGCAGAGGCUUCAAAUGCAGUUAUUACAGGUACAAUUCUGGUUUGUGAUCGGAUGCUUCAGUGUUGUUUGAUCUAGGGUCUACAUAUUCGUAUGUGUCAACUUAUUUUUCCCCAUACUUGAUCAUGCCUAGUGAUACAUUAGGUAUUCCUGUUUAUGUGUCUACACCAGUGGGUGACUCUGCUAUGGUCGAUCAAGUCCAUCGUUCUUAUGUUGUGGUGAUUGGGGGUCUUGAGACUCAUGUAGAUUUAUUGCUUUUAGACAUGGUUGAUUUCAACAUUAUAUUGGGGAUAGUUAUCACCGUAUCACACUAUCUUGGAUGGACAUGCCAAGACUGUGACCUUAGCUUUACCGGGUGUGCCUUGUUUAGAGUGGAAAAGGACUCUUGGUCAUUCUACCCAUGGUGUUAUCUCAUAUGUGAAGGCUCGGUGUAUGGUUAAGAAGGGGGUGAUUGGCCUAUUUGGCAUAUGUUCGUGAUUCCAAUGCUGAGGUUCCCUCUAUUUAUUCUGUGCUCGUUGUUCGCAACUUCCCUGAUGUCUUUUCUUCAGACCUGCCGGGUAUGACACCUGAUAGGGAUAUUAACUUUUGCAUUGAUGUGGCUCCAGGCACUCAGCCUAUUUCUAUCUCGCCAUAUCGUGUGGCCCCGCCUAAGUUGAAAGAGUUAAAGUAUCAGUUGCAGGACCUGAUGGAGAAGGGUUUCAUUCGACCCAGUGUAUCACCUUGGAGCGUUCUGGUGUUGUUCGUUAAGAAGAAGGAUGGUUCGAUAAGAAUGUGCACUGAUUACCGGCAGUUGAACAAGGUAACAAUCAAGAAUAAAUAUCCGCUGCCUAGAUUGAUGAAUUGUUCGAUCAGCUUCAGGGUGCCAGGAAAUUUUCCAAGAUUGACUUGAGAUCUGGCUACCAUCAGUUGAGGAUUAGGGCUUCCGAUGUCUCUAAGACAGCUUUCCGCACUCGGUACGGGCAUUAUGAGUUCUUGGUUAUGUCAUUCGGGUUGACAAAUGCCCCAUCAGCUUUUAUAGACAUGAUGAACCGAGUGUUGAGGCCUUAUUUGGAUUCAUUUGUGAUAGUUUUCAUUGAUGAUAUAUUGAUAUAUUCCCGCAGCAAAGAGGAGCACGAGCAGCACCUUAGAGUGGUUCUUCAGACUCUGAGGGAUAAUCGGUUAUAUGAUAAGUGCUCGAAGUGUGAAUUCUAGUUGGGUUCAGUUGCAUUUCUGGGUCACGUUAUAUCAACAUAGGGUAUUUAGGUAGACCCAAAGAAGAUUUAGGCAGUCAAGAACUGGCCUAGGCCAGCAUCAGCUACAGAGAUUCAGAGUUUUUUGGGGUUGGAAGGCUACUAUCGACGGUUCGUGGAAGGUUUUCAUCUAUUGCGGUCCCGAUGACCAGAUUGACCCAGAAGGGUGCCCAGCUCAGAUGGUCAGACGAGUGUGAGGUGAGCUUUUAGAGGCUCAAGACAGCCCUGACUACGGCACCGGUGUUGGUUUUGCCCACGGGUUUAGGGCCUUAUACAAUCUAUUGUGAUGCUUCCCGUAUUGGGCUUGGAGCAGUGUUGACGCAGGAUGGCAAGGUCAUUACCUAUGCUUCAAGGUAGUUGAAGAUUCAUGAGAAGAUCUAUCCGGUUCAUGAUUUGGAGUUGGCAACCAAAGUUCACUCAUUGAAGAUUUGUAGGCAUUAUCUACAUGGCAUGGCAUGCGAGGUGUUCACGGAUCAAAAGAGCCUUCAGUAUUUGUUCAAGCAAAAGGAGUUGAAUUUGAGGCAGAGGAGGUGGAUGGAGUUGUUGAAGGAUUAUGACAUCACCAUUCUAUAUAAUCCGGGAAGGCCAAUGUGGUGGACGAUGCUCUGAGUAGGAAGUCAGCCAGUAUGGGCAGUCUUGCUUAUAUUCCGGUGGGUAAGAGGCCGCUUGCUUUGUAUGUUCAGGCUUUAGCCAAUCAAUUCUUGAGGCUAGACAUUUCUUGAGCCCAGUCGGUGUUAGCUUUCACGGUCUCUUGUUCUUCAUUAUUGGAGCGUAUCCGUGAUCAGCAGUAUGACGAUCCCCAUUUGUGUGUCCUUAGAGACACAGUGCAACAUGGAGGUGCCAGGCAUGUUACAUUAGAUGCUGAUGGAGUCUUGAGAUUGCAGGGGUGAGUUUGUGUGCCCAAUGUGGAUGGGCUUUGAGAGUUGAUUUUAGAGGAGGCCAAUAGCUCCCGGUACUCUAUUCAUCCGGGCGUCGUGAAGAUGUAUCAGGAUUUGUGGUAGCAUUAUUAGUGGCGUAGAAUGAAGAAGGAUAUCGUAGCAUAUGUGGCUCAUUAUUUGAAUUGUCAGCAGGUUGAGUAUGAGCAUCAGAGACCUGGUGGUUUAUUUCAGAGGAUUGAUCUUCCCCAAUGGAAGUGGGAGCGGAUCACUAUGGACUUUGAUACUAGGAUUACAAAGACUCGGAAGAAGUUCGACACAGCAUGGUUCGUUGUUAAUAGGCUGACCAAGUCGGCUCAUUUCAUUCCUGUGGCGGUCUCCCAUUCUUCUGAGGGGUUAGCUGAAAUCUAUAUUCGAGAGAUUGUUCGCCUCCAUGGUUUGCCCAUAUCUAUAAUUUCGGACUGGGGUAUGCAGUUUACAUCGUGCUUCUAGAGAGCAGUUCAGCGAGAGUUAGGAAUACGGGUUGAGUUGAGCACAACAUUUCAUCCCCAGACAGACGGUCAGUCCGAGAGGAUUAUUCAAAUUUUGGAGGAUAUGCUCUGAGCUUAUAUUAUUGACUUUGGAAGUUCGUGUGAUCAAUUCUUUCCUUUAGCAGAGUUUGCCUACAACAAUAGCUACCAGUCGAGCAUUCAGAUGGCUCCUUAUGAGGUUUUAUACGGUGGGCGGUGUCGGUCUCCGGUUGGAUGGUUUGAGCUGGGAGAGGCUUGGUUGUUAGUUACAGAUUUUGUUCAGGAGGCCUUGGACAAGGUCAGGAUCAUUCAGGAUAGGCUUCGUUCAGCUCAAUCUAUGCAAAAGAGCUAUGAAGACCCCAAGGUUCAAGAUGUGGCUUUUAUGGUUGGUAAGCGGGUAUUGCUCCGAGUGUCGCCUAUGAAAGGCGUGAUGAGAUUUGGGAAGAAGGGCAAACUUAGCCCCAGGUUCAUUGGUCUGUUUGAGAUUCUUUAUCGAGUGGGAGAGGUGGCUUAUAAACUUGCUUUGCCCCUGAUCUUAUCAACCAUACAUCCAGUGUUUCAUGUGUCCAUGCUUCUGAGGUAUCACGGCGAUCUAGCCCACGUGCUAGAUUUCACCACAGUCCAGCUGGACAUGGACUUAUCUUAUGAGGAGGAGCCAGUAGCUAUUUUGGACCGGCAGGUUUGCCAGUUGAGAUCCAAGAGUUUCCCUUUUGUUCGUGUUUAGCGGAGAGGUCAGCCUCUUGAGGCAUCAACCUGGGAGUCUGAGUCCGAUAUGUGAAGCCAUUAUCCUCAUCUUUUCCCUGACUCAGGUACUUCUCUCUUCUGUCCGUUCGAGGACGAACCGUUGAUUUAGAGGUGGAAAAUGAGGUGAUGACCCAUCAUCACCUAUUUUCUUAUCCAUUUUGUGCUUUUGAAGCCUUGAAAACCUCAUUAGACUUGACUCAAUUUGCCUGCGCAGUCCGGGCACGUAGUCGGGAAGCUUAAAUGUGAAAUUCUAUAAAAAAAAUGCUAAAUUUUGAUAUUAACAUGAAUAAAUUUAAAUUUGGUCAAUAUUUUGGGUAAACCGACCUAGACCCGUGAUUUGACAAUCCCGGAGGGUUCGUACGAAAAUAUGGGACUCGGGCAUAUGCCCGAAAUUGAAUUCUGAGGUCCCGAGCCCGAAAAAAUAAUUUUUAAAGGAAAUUGUUAAGGAAAAUUGAAAUGAAAAUUUAUUAGAACGUGUUGGUAUCGGGUUCGUAUUUUAGUUCUGGCGCCCGGUACAAGUCAUAUAUGUGAUUUAAGAUAUUUCUACAAAAUUUGGUUGAAAAUCGGAUGUCAUUUGACGUGUUUCCGGUUAAAGUUCCAAAUUUGGAAGUUAAUGAAGUUUGAGGAAAAACUAGUGAUUUUUGAGGUUUGAUUCGUUUUUUCUUAUAUUAUUUGGCAAUUUGAUCGCACGGUUAAGUUCCUAGGAUGUUGUUGAGUAAGUGCAUAUGUUUGGUUAGGAGCCCCGAGGGCUCGGGAAUGUAUCAGAGGUGUUUUGGAGUGGUUUCAAACUUAGAAAAUUUGCAGAAUUGGCUUCAGCUGUUGCAGACCCCAUUCCUUCUUCGCAUUCGCAUCCCACCUCCCGUGUUCGUGAUGCUUCAUCUUUUUCAUUUCUUCACGUUAGCGUCCCAACACUCGUAUUUGCGUAGGGUUAUUUUACUUUGAGGGCUGAGUCUUCUUUUCUUCAUCGCGUUCGCAUAAGCAUACUCGCGCUCGCAUAGCUUUGCAGGAUUUCCUCUUCGCGUUCGCAUGCUGUCCCACGAGUUCGCCUAGACCAAUAUCAGGGCCACACCAUUUUUACUCUCCGCGUUCGCGUGCCUCCUUUUGCGAAUGCGAUGGUCUGUAAGUGCUACCCUUCGCGGGCGCGACCAGCCUGUCGCGAACGCACAGGGAAAUUUUGCCUAGUUGUAUUUUUAAUUUCCAGAACAGUAUUGUUGCAGGAUUUUCAUAAACAUUCACGAACUCCUUCUUCUCCAAGUUCCUUAGGAAUCCACUGGAGCUAUCCUUCACCAAAGACUUCUUGGGUUAGUAAUUGUUGCUUGUUUCCUUCCAUUUUCUUCAACAUAUAAUGAAUUCCUAAGCCUAAAACAUGUAAUUAAGGGUAGAAAUUGGGGGCUUGGGUAGAGUUAGGGCUUUUUAAUUUUUCUUGAUUUAGACCUCAUUUUGGAGUCGAAUUUGAAAACAAAUUAUAUACUCGGGCUCGUGGGUGAAUGGGUGAUAUGAUUUUGGUCCGAACCUUGUGUUUUGACCAAGUGAGCCUAGGGUCGAUUUUUGGGAUUUUGGGAAGAAUGCUUGGAAAGCUAUAAUUAGGUGUUUGAUUCGAUUUGUUUAACAUGUACUGAUGUUAUGAAGUCACUUAUGUAUAGAAUUGAUUGAUUUGGAGCAGAAUUCGAAAGGAAAGGCGGUUGUCGAGGAUUGAAUUGGCCAUGGAAGUUUGAGGUAAGUGUUUGGUCUAACCUUAUCUUGAGAGAAUAGGAGUUGAGUCUUAUUUGCUACUUGCUGAUUGUCAAGUACGACGUAUAGGCAUGGUGACGAGUAUCUAUACGCUGGUGUCUAGCAUGACCGUGAGUCUUUAUAUUGCGAAUAUUCUGAUUUUUUUAAUCUUUCAUGCCUAAAUGAUGAUUCAUAUAUGUUGUAAAAAACAUGUGAAAGAAAUUGUGAUCUUUGAACUUCGAGGAGCAUUGGCUCGAGUGGUGAUACGAAUUGUGAAAGUAUAUGAGGUAAUUGAUCCCGUUGGAGCAUUGGCUCAUGUGGUAAAGUGAGAUAUGAAGUAAAAGUGAAAGAAAAAGAAAGAGUAUUUAAAUUGUUCCCUUGCCGGGAUAUUGUUUCUUAUUGAUCAUUUUCCCUUGCCGGGACAGUGAGAUUAUUGAUGUUGUAUCCGUGCCAGGAUUUAAUUGCUUAAUUGAGUUCCCUUGCCGGGACUUCUAUUAUUGUUUUGUUUACCCCCUGCCCCUUGUUUGUGACUGUUAUUUGGGUGAGGAAGAGUGUUAAAGCACGAAGGAUGAUGUCGUGUAUUAUUUUCUAUUGUGAGAAAAGAGUGUUAAAGCACGAAACGUGAUGUCGUGCCGCACGAAUUACCAUUCCGUGACGAUUCUAGUGAUUAUAUGUGAGGAUGAGAGUAAAUGCAUGAAAGGUGAUACGGUGCACAUUUUAUUAAAUGAUUGCUUUGUGAGGAUAAGAGUAAAAGCACGAAAGGUGAUGCCGUACAUGUUUUAUUAUAUCAUUGCUUGGUGAGGAUGAGAGUAAAAGCACGAAGGAUGGUGCCGUACACUUAUUGCUUUAUGUUUCUUUAUUGAAGUCUACGAUGUGUUGUUUCCUUCUUUACUGGACGACUUUUACUUGAAAUUGUUAUUUUCCCCAAAGCAUGAUCCCCCUACCAUAUUGAUUACUUCUCUUUGUAUUUCGAUUCCGAUGUAUAUGUAUAUAUAACUUUGCGGGUUUAUAUGGUAGUCCGGUCUAGCCUCGUCAUUACUUCACCGGGGUUAGGCUAGGCACUUACCAGCAUAUGGGGUCAGUUAUGCUGAUGCUACACUCUGUGCUCUUGUGCAUUGAUCCAGGUGCCGGGGUAGCUUACGGUGGACAGCAGUAGUCAGGGAGCUGACCUUCAGUCCACAAGACUCUGAGGUAGCCUUGCUGGCGUCCACAGGCCCAGCGUUUCUUUUUUCAGUUUCCAUGUUAUGUUGACAUUUGUAUUCUAGACAGACUAUUUCCUUCAUUUAAAACUCUUAUUUGUAGUAAAUCUUAGACAUUCUGUGUUUUGUUGUGAUACCAGGUGUUGGGUAGAGACUUGUAAUGGUUUUCUAGAUGUUGUUGCUAUGUUCAAACUUCCGCUAAAUUUUACUUUUAGUUGAUUUUAAUUGCUUAUUCAUUGAUAAUUUAAUUUUUUAAUCAUGUAUAAAACAAGAUAAGUUAAUGGUUGCAAAGGUUCUUGGCUUUCCUAGCUACCACGAGUAGGCACCAUCCAACCCCUAAGAGUGGGGAAAUCCGGGUCGUGACAAUAUAAGCCUUUCCGAUUUAUAAAGGGUAAUUUCAAAGCGUAGACACUCGUCAAGUGUUGCUAUGUUGAUAAUAAGCACGAGUGGAGUAUGAUGUGGAUCAUGCUUUAUGUAGAAAUAAUAACACGUUGCCAAGUAUUUGCAUGAUAAAAGUGCAUAAAAGCAGUAAAUAACACAGUAAAGGUGAACAUGAAAAAAAACACAAAAGAGAGAAAUCAGUUUAGCUCAUAAAAAUUGUGCGAGAACGUAAAGAAGCACGUAGGGAAAUAGGGAUGGGACAGUCAUAAUAUAGCAGUCUUAGACAAUAUGAAGGAAAUGCAAAGAGGUCAUACAUGUCAUAGCAAAUAAAGGAGAAUAGGGGAAUGGAUGUGCAUGUCGUAGCAAUUUAAAACAAAUAAAGGUGAAUAAGGGAAGAGAUGUGCAUGUCAUAGCAAUUUAGACAAAUAAGGGAAAUAAGGGGAAAUGAUCCACAUAAGUCAAAUUCAUUAUAGUAAGAGCCUAAAUAUAUCCCCAGCAAAGUCGUCAUGCUUUUGUGUCCCUUUUUCUUACGAAAGCGGGCUUCUACGUGUGAUAACUCUUUUCAAUGAGGUAUUAAAAUAUAAGGACCUAAUGAUUUUAAAGGUGCAUUAGGAAAACUAUUUGGAAAUAACUCUAUUUUGACCAGUAUGUGUCACCAAAGAUCAGGUAAGAGCUCAAAUUACCUCAAAGAGAAGGUGUUAGGAAUUCUUAGAAGCCCACAAUUGUGGGUCCCAGCCGAAUUUUAUACUUGUGGAUUAGGUAAUUAAGUUAGGUGAUCAAAUAAGCAAAAAAAGGUAUAGAAGUUGAAGACUCUUAUUGCAAUACAUAAGAAUAAGUGAUCAUUAUUAAUCUUAAAGAUUACAAGGGUACAACUACAUUGGUCUAUGUAAAAUGAAUCAAGUGUAAAUAACUGGUAUAUAAAGAAAAGAGGGACUAAGUUUUUUAGCCUAAAGGAUCACCCCGUGCAACAUAAUAAUAUUUUGCAACUCUGUUAAGGUAGGAAUUGCUCAUAUUAUUCAAUGGGCACAGACUACAUUUUCUGCUACCCAAUUACUAUGUUGAAGUUGUUACUUAAGGCGUUAUAGUUCAAUUCUAAAUUGUAGCCUAUGCAUGCACUACUUGUUCCGUGCCUAUGGUCCAUGAGGCUUUGAACCUACAAUUAGGUAGUUCUAGACUCAUCUUGGAUUGCUCAAAAUGGUAACACUAGGCUACAUCCAAUACAGAUAGGACGGUACACAAAGACAAUUAUGGUCCUAGGUUGGCCUCCACACAUAAGCAAUAAAUACACGCUGACAGAUUAGGUAGUAUACAGUAGACGGUUUCAAGAUUGAGGCAUGUUAGAGUUGUUAAGUCCUAUAGAUAGAAUCUCUAUGUGAUUCCAGUAUUAUACAGGAAGUGUUGCAGUUUUUGGGCUAACAUAUGGGCAGAUUAGUGCGUUACUAAUCCUAUAAGCAUGAUUUCUACAUGCUUAUGUGAUGAGACAAUGAAGAUAUAUGAGUUACCAGAUUAUUAGUGCUGAUUUUAUAAGCAAUCUUUCUUAGGCGGAUGUCAAUGUCCUAUAGCAUGGUCUCUAACAGUUGCAAUAUAGGCAAUGAAGUCACUUGAAAGAAACGCCAAUAAACAUCCUAUAGGUAGGAUUUCUAACAAUUGAAAUAUAUUUUAUAUAAUUAUCCCUACAUGCAUGCCAGCUAAGUAUGAUAAUAACAGAGCGACUAAUUAAUUGAUUAGAAUCCUAUCGUCAUGAUAUCUAAAGGAGCAGCAUGUUAAAAUCAAUAGAAAUAAUUAAUUGAAAACCUAUUGACAUGGUGUCUAGAUGGGCAGUAACAAAUAUGUGUUAUUCAUCCUAUAGACAUGUUGCCAAAGUAUUGAAUAGUAGACAUGGAAAUAGUGUAGCGAUUACUUUAGUUGAUAUAUUUUGACAAUUAGGUGAAGUGAGUGUGUGAUUCCUAUAGACAUGAUUUCUGUUGAUGUGCAGAAACAAAGAAAGCUAAAUAAAAUAUCACAUCAAGUAGGGGAGGGGUUUAUAUAGUGGCAAAGAUCAGCACGCAAAGUAAGCAAAUACAGUUAAUCGAAAACAAAUAAAGAAAGAGAAGCAUGCAAAAUCACUCAGAAUUAAUUUAAGAGAAAAUCAAGUAAAACCUAGUUCAAAAUGAGAACACAGAUGGUCGAAAAUCUCAUUGAAUCAGACCCAAAUAGCCUGGUAAUGAGUGUAUAUAGACGAAAUAUCGUCUAAAUCUCGAAGGGCAAUGGCACUCGAUUUGGGAGAUUGGUACUUUCCAAAAACAGGGAGAGUACUAUGUAAUACCAUAGUCUUGUAAUAAACAACGAGAUAAUCCAUAAAAGAUAAGUAGAUCACCGAGGGAAUCCAUUACUUGAUCGUAUUUGGAAAAGAUUGAGGAAGGCGGCUACUAGGGUUUGUGAGGAGGAAGGUUCGAGAGGUUCUGGGAGCAGCGGAAUAGGGAAUGUCUUUAGGGUUAGGGGUUUGGUGGAUAAAAACGGGGAGAUGGUUUGUGGGUCAUUGAUCUCUGAGAUCAACGGUCAAGAUUAAAAGGGAGAUCGGUCGGGUCAUAAAAUGGGUCACGUCCGGGUUGUCUAAAAGGUUUUUUUUGUUUGGGCUGUAGAAAGGCCAAGUGGUUUGGACCUAUUUUGGUCCGAAAUUAGCCUAAAAUUGGGCUAACAAUUAAAUACACGAAAUAUAUAUAAUAAAUUAUAAAAUAUUAAUUAUGCAUUAAUAUGAUUGAAAAUAAUAACUUAAUAAAUAUAAAAAUUCUAUUUUAGCGUGAAUAAUGUAAUAAUUAAAAUUAUGCAUAACAUAUAGGGUAUAAUUGUAAAAUUGUGUAAACAGCUUAAAAAUACAAAUAUAAUCAUAUGAAAUAAAGUAAAAAUAUUAUAAAACAUAUAUGUGGAAGAAAAUAGUAAUUUUGGAUAAUUAAGUCAUCACAAAAUAAUUUAAAGGGGUUAUUAAUACAUAUUCAAGUAAUAUAAAUGCAAGAAAAUCAAUUUUAAAGCUUUAAAAAUAAUAAAAAGUCAUAGAAAAUACUUAUAUGUCCCCCAUAAAUUAGAUAAUAAUGCAAAAAGAUAUUUUGAAAGUAUACAUGACAUUUAUAAAAAUAUAAGAGAAAAUUUGAGUAUCAACGCCUGCUAGAUGCUUUCUACCCGACCUUACCUAUGAAUAGAGUGAAGAUGUAUUCCAUUAAUUAAACCAUGAGAGGAUUUCAUGAACAGCACCAAUUCUAUUACCAUAAGAUACCACAUUUAUAAUUUCCAAAAAUACAUUGAAAAUUCAUAGUUCGAAGUGGAAUAUGUGAUACAAAUACAACAUUUCUGGUUUGACUUUUCGAAACCAAGAUAGAACUCACACCAUGUCUAUCGAGCCUCUAAUGAAUACAAAAGAGUAAUGUGAUGGUGCCGUCAACAAGGCAUGGCUAUAUCUAGAAACACUAUACAUAAGGAAUAAAAGAUACACGACACCAAAAUGAAGUGGGGUUCACCAAGUCAGGUGAGGAGAGGGUGUACCGCUAUCACUGAUCAAUGUCCUCUACUAUGGAACCACCUGCAUCCAUUAAGUUGCAGUGCCCCGGAAGACGUUAGUACAUAUGGAAUAGUAUUAGUAUGUAAGGCUAAACACCGUCUCAAAGAAUCAAGUAACAGUACAAGGACAAACAACAUAAGAUCAAUGAGAGCCUCAAACAAUAUGAAACAUCAAGUUAAGAAGAAGAUAAAAUAAUCUCCAAGUAAAUGUCGUUAUUUUUAAGUUGGGAUAUUUUUGGCACCAAUAUACUAUCGUGUCUUUAGCAUGGAGUCCGAUCACAACCCGAUCGGUUAAGCCAUCUCACUCAAAGACAUCCAAUCACAAUACUAUCGUACUUUUAGUACAAAGUCUGAGCUCAACCUGAUGGGCUAAGCCGUCUCACCCCAAGACAUCCUACCAUAGCACCACCAUGUGUGCAACCAAUCUCUACUCGAUUGGCUAGGUUGUCUCUCCACGUGUGACAUGUGAGUCGACAUCCAAUCUAAGGUUAGCAAUAAUCUCAUUACAAUCAUGGGGGGAAAUCUUAACACAUCAAUCUCAUCCCAUUUAAGGGGAACAAUCUGAACACAUCACUAUAGGGAUUUACCACUCAGUCACACCUACUCCGACACAUGUAGUUUCAGGAUUGGAUUGUUUUAACCCAUCCUUCCUCGGUGACUAAUAAUACUCCUAAGAACAUUUUUGUUUUACAUACAAAGGAAAUAGAAAUACAAAUACAUUCACGUCAUAACCUUUCAAACCAUAUCUAGCUUUAUUAGUACUUUCAACCACUCACAACAUCAUCAUUUCAUUGGCUCUUUUGGUCAUACAUAUGAUUCUUCAUUCAUAGCACGGUGGACGUAUCUCAUUUACUUUCAAGGUUCAUCAUCAUAAAAAAACAACAUAUAUAAUAUUCUAGAAAUCAUAACUCUAAGUUCAUUAGUAAUGAAGGCUUUAAAUACAAUGAAUUUCUUUCCACAGAAAUGGAGCAAAAUGAUUGGUAAUUUAAGCACAAGAUAAAAUCAUAAACGAGUAACACAUUAUUUAUUCUUGAAAAUAAUUUUCCCCAAAAGGGAAAUACACAAUUUUGACUCUUGAAUAUGUAAGAACUCAAAACACACUGAAAAUACUUACAAAGCAUAGUAUGGUGAUCACGAUUGAAACAAGGGUCAAAUCAUAGGAAUUAGUUUAAACAAUCACAUUUGAACAUGACUUGAGCACAUAAGCUAUUAGGCAAAUCUAUUUUUCGAGUCAAUGAGGAACAUUAAAUCAAGGCUUAUUUCAUAAUCUUUCAUACAUCAUUUCAUUUUAUUUCAUUGCCUUUAACGGCCACAAGUAUAACUUUUUCUUGGCACGGCAGCCACACUUUAUAUCUCCAAUUCACUUCUUUUAUUUUCAAACAUGUAUAUACAUUAUCAUCAAUAAGAAAAUUUAAAAUCAAAGCCUUAAGUAUAAAUAUGAGCAAUAUGGGUCUUAGGCGCAUUGAGUUUUCAUUCCAAGUUAAGCAUAAUAGACUUUCAAUUGAAACACGAAUUGAAGUCAUAAAAUUUUAAUACAUAAAUCCUACUUGAACACAUUCUCGAAGAGAUCAUAAUAGGAGAAAUUGGUACACGUUCUGAGUAUAUGCAUUUUUCAACACGAAGGUUACCUGGGAUAAUUGAUUUUAUAAGGAACAACUCGGAACAUGAGAAUUAGGAAUCUGAGCCAACCAUAUUUGAAACUUACAGGAACAUCAUGGAAUUCCACUCUAAGAGAGAAUUUUAGCCAACAUACCUUGCUUGAGGUUUUCUUAGGUUAUCACAACUUCCCAAUACUCUUAGCAAAUUCAAUUCAGAUUGAUGAUGGUCUAGUGAAUGGCUUCCUUGAUUCUUGAAGAUUGGGCUAAGAAUGGAUAAAAAUUGGUAAAAUUGAAAGGUAUUCUCCCCCUAUCUCUAAGAUCAUCUCACUUCUCUCUAAAUAUAUCAUAUUUUUACCUUCAAAAUGAGUCCCAAAGGAUUUUAAUCAAAAUGGGGUCAGGUUAUAAAAAUAGAAAAUGGACCUCCGAACUCAACUCUGUGGUCGCAUAGUGAAUUGCAGAAUAGGUAUGCGGUUCGCAUAAGGAACCACAAAAUUGACUUUCAUAAACUGGGCUGUCCUAGUCAAGUUUACGGCCAGGUCAAUGGUCCGCAGACCAGUUAUGCGACGGAAGUGCGGAUCACAUAAUGGAAACGCGAUCACAUAAUGGCUGCAAAAAGGACCUUCAAACAAGGAACAGUCAUGGCAAUGCAUUGAAUAUUAUUCCGUAGGUCUUUUUAUGGGCCAAAAAAUUUUAGCCGAUAUGGGUCUGAUCACCCAGGCCAUGUAGAUGUAUUGGGUUAUAAUACAAGAUAAUUUGAGAAUCUGGUGGAACUUCAGUUUUAUU
rnacentral:lncRNA from 1 species